AAACUUCGGGAAAUGGAUUGGCUCUGAGGACUGGGUGGAGCUGAGCGUCAGACCGCUUUGGAUGGGCCAGGUAAGGGACUCGUCUCGAACCAAGCCUUGAAUUAGAGGUCUCCGUUUCAACCAUCAAUAGCAGUCGACUCAGAACUGAAGCGGACAAGGGGAAUCUAACUGUUUAAUAAAAACGUAGCAUUGUGAUGGCCUGAAAAGGUGUUGACACAAUGUGAUUUCUGCCCAGUGCUCUGAAAGUUAAUGUGAAGAAAUUCAACUAUGCCCGGGUAAACGGCGGGAGUAACUAUGACUCUCUUAAGGUAGCCAAAUGCCUCGUCAUGUAAUUUAUGACGCGCAUGAAUGGAUCAAUGAGAUUCCUACUGUCCCUACCUACCAUCUAGCGAACCCACAGCCAAGGGAACGGGCUUGGCACAAUCAGCGGGGAAAGAAGACCCUGUUGAGCUUGACUCUAGUCUGACUUUGUAACAUGACAAUUGGGACGUAGCGUAGGUGGGAGACUUCGAUCAUGCAACACCACUACUCAAUUCGUCAUGCGACUUAUUUCGUCGUGUAGAGCUGUCUUUGACUGUUCUGGAUAUAAGGCAAUUUAUUGCUGAAUCUAGGCGGAUGACAGAGUUAGAUGGGGAGUUUGGCUGGGGCGGCACUUCUGUUAAACGAUAACGCAGGUGUCCUACGGUGAGCUCAAAGAGAACAGUAAUCUCUUGUAGACCAGAAGGGGAAAAGCUCACUUGAUUUUGAUUUUCAGUAAAAAUACAAACUGUGAAAGCAUGGCCUAUUGAUCCUUUAUCUUUACAAGUUUUAAGCUAGAGGUGUCAGAAAAGUUACCACAGGGAUAACUGACUUGUGGCAGCCGAGCGUUCAUAGCGACGUUGCUUUUUGAUCCUUCGAUGUCGGCUCUUCCUAUCAUUGUGUCGCACAAGGCACAACGUGUCGGAUUGUUCACCCGUUAAAAGGGAACGUGAGCUGGGUUUAGACCGUCGUGAGACAGGUUAGUUUUACCCUACUGAUGAAUUGAUAUCGCGACAGUAAGUCAGCCAAGUACGCGAGGAACAGUUGGUUCAGAUUAAUGGUAAAUACGGUUGGCUGAAAAGCCAGUGCCGUGAAGCUACAUCUGUUGGAUUAUGACUGAUCGCCUCUAAGUCAGAAACCAUGCUGGAAAGCGGUAUCUAACAACAAUAAACGAAAACAUCUAGGCUUCGGCCAAGUUCCUUCAGGGAUACAUGGAGCUCUGCGAACGAGUUUCCAUACACCCAAAGAACAAUUUCGAAUUAUUGU
rnacentral:rRNA from 1 species